GCUAUGUCGAAAAGAGGAUCAGUAAAACAUCUUGGCCUUGCUAAUGUUGACAACUGGAGAAUGAUGAAGAAUGUGAACAGGCUGAGGAAUCUCCUGAACAGUGGCAAGCGAUCAGACCAGCAGAUGGAGUCCUAAUAAAGCAGAUCGCUACACCAUCGACACCUUUUUACAACAAAGACUAAACACAUUCCUGACCUUUUCGUUCGAUCCGUCUGCCAUAUUUCAUUAGAUCACUGGCUUCGAAAUUAUUCCUCUUCCCUCCCAAUUCCAUUAUCCAUUAUAUUUAAUGAUCCACGGUGGAAAAAUCAUCCGGAUAUAAGGAAGAGAUGAUGUUCAUACUAAUGACUUACAGUGAGCAGCUAACGCCUACGACUGAAUACAUUAUUCCAGCAUAACACGAUAUAAAGGCAUGUUUGAAUUUCUCAAAAUAAUGUAGAAGUAUACUUUUCUAGUUUUCAUAGAAGAAUUUUUGAAUAUUAAACGGUUUCACUUGAUAGGAGUCUAAGUGUACAAUUUAGCUGCAGUUUUGAUACUUUUUUGUCCCUUUCCUUCAUUGUAUGAAAUGAAACAAAAUAACUGAAUACUAGAAAGUAGAAUAUUUGUAAUCUAGGUGUUUUUUUUUAAAUAAAAGCUGCAUCAUCUCUGUUGGCUUACUCUGAUUGUAAUGAUAUUUAUCAGAGAUAUACCGUCCUGGGAUAGAUUAAUGAAAGAUUAGGGUAUGUUUGCUCCGUUCGGAUAAACGUGUUACUUUUAUAGACAUUUUAGACAACCAUAUUGAAUUCACACAAAUACAUAAUUAUUCUAGAGGCAGGCACCCCGAAUGUUUAUAUUAAUGAAUAAGUACUAGAUGGUAUGUAUAUAUUCAAAUGCAAAUAAGCUGUAUAUGAAAGAUUGCUAUUUGUGAAUAUAACAUGAAGUUUAAAAAGUGUAAUUAGUCUGACAAAUUUGGUAUAUAAAUCUAAUAAAACUUGCUAGAGGUAUGGUCCCAUUUAAAACACAGAUGUGCUAUGAUGAUAGAAUAUAUUGCUAUUUUAAGUUAUCCUCACCGGUUUUAAUUUCAUGCUCUAUGUUUGAAAAUGACAAUAAUAUAAAGAUAAAUACACCAAAACCAAAUUUUAUGAAGAACUCCACGCUGCUUGUUUCCUUUCACAUAAAAUUGAUGUUUGAUCAAUAGCAGUGUUAUAUCAAACAUGAAGUAUAAAAUAAUGCAACUUACAGAAAGAUCCUUAAGUUAACCGAUUAAAUUGACAAAUGUUACACAUGGUUUUAUUUUUCAUACUCUGUGAACAUUUAUAAGCAUUGUGAUAGGCCGAUACGCCGAACGUUAUUAUAUGUCAGUACUUUCAUUUCAUUAUCAAAACAAAUAAAGCAUUUUUUUGCGUGAUAGAAGCAAAUUGAAUAGAUGGAGGCUGUUACGUUAUAAUGAUAUAAGAGUGCCUACUGUAAAAAAAAAAAGAUGACAAUUGAGAAUUUUCUUUGAUAUUUUGGUCAACAAUAAAAUAUCCCUUUUAAUGCAAAGACAAAUAAAAAGAGCUCGGAACAAUUAAUAAAUUACUGUAUAUUAUUAA